rnacentral:rRNA from 1 species
GUGAAGCGGCAAGAGCUCAACUUUGGAAUCGCUCCGGCGAGUUGUAGUCUGGAGGUGGCCACCACGAGGUGUUCUAGCAGCAGGCAAGUCCUUUGGAACAAGGCGCCAGCGAGGGUGACAGCCCCGUACCUGCUUUUGCUAGUGCUUCCUGUGGCCCACCGACGAGUCGAGUUGUUUGGGAAUGCAGCUCUAAGUGGGUGGUAAAUUCCAUCUAAGGCUAAAUAUUGGCGAGAGACCGAUAGCGAACAAGUACAGUGAUGGAAAGAUGAAAAGCACUUUGAAAAGAGAGUGAAACAGUACGUGAAAUUGUUGAAAGGGAAGGGCUUGCACCCAGACACGGUUUCGGCCGGGCCAGCAUCAAGUAGAACGGGGUUAAAAGACUUGGGGAAUGUAGCUACUUCGGUAGUGUUAUAGCCCUUGGUGAUGACCCCUGUUUUGCUUGAGGACAGCGGUCUCUAGGAUGCUGGCGCAAUGGUUGCAAGCCACCCGU